rfam:Triticum aestivum genome assembly, contig: Triticum_aestivum_CS42_TGACv1_scaffold_199091_3AL
CAACUACUCCCUCUGUCCCAAAUUUCUUGUCUUAGAUUUGUCUAGAUACGGAUGUAUCUAAUACUAAAAUUUGACAUGAUACAUCCGUAUCUAGACAAAUCUAAGACAAGAAUUUUGGGACGGAGGGAGUACUUU